rnacentral:rRNA from 1 species
GACGAACGCUGGCGGCGUGCCUAACACAUGCAAGUCGAACGAACAGAUGGGGUGCUUUCUCCUCCGACGUUAGCGGCGGACGGGUGAGUAACACAUGGAUGACCUACCUCCCCGACUGGGAUAACAUCGCGAAACCGUAUCUAAUACCCGAUAAUAUAUUGAACUGCAUUGUGCUCUAGUGAGAGACGGUUUUGCUUUCAGUUAUAGAUGGAUCCGCGUCGGAUCAGAUGCUUGUGUAGGUGACGGGUUACCAAGGCAACGAGGGGUAGCCGACCUGAGGGGGGGGUGGGCCAGAUGGGAAGUGAGACAGGGCACAGACUCCGACGGUAGGAAGCAGAGGAGAAUCGUACGCAAUGGAGGAGAGGCGAACGGAGGACAGCGGCGUGAGGGGUGAAGGUGUGCGGUUCGUGAAGCGCUGUUAUUAGGGAAGAACAAAAGUGUAAGUAACUGUGCGCGUCUUGACGGUACCUGGACAAGAAGCCACGGCUAACUACGUG